CCACCCUUCUCUUCCGCCGGCUUUUAUGCGUCCCCACAGCCUACAGCUCAGCUCGCAUCCCUGGAUGCCCUCUGAUCCGCGGGAUGUCCAGCACGGCAAAGACGAUCCAGGGCAGCGACGGUCCGUGGCGCCGUAGCCGCAUGGGCCGUGUCUGCCGCAUGCGCAGUGGGAAGACCCGGAGCGCGGGUUCGACCCUGCGGCCCUGGUAACCGACAUAAUGGGCUUGAAUUGCAUUGGAUCUGAAGAUGGAAAGACCACCCAUGCCAGCAGGCAGUUGGGACCAGUUACCCGAGUCCCCAGGAUGCCCAGCAAGCAGCAUUUCGGAAGGCCUGUUGUGCACACGAGUUAGACAUUUAUAGCAGCACCAGAACCGGUGAAACAUUUGCUGAGUGGAAGUCGGGCUAUCUGGUGAGUGAAGGAAAGAGGUGCAACUCAACCACUGACUACUCUGCAUACAUAAUUUGGGGAAAGUAUUGGGCAGUCUGGGUAGCAUGUUCCCAAGGUCUGUGGCUAAUAGUGGCCAUGGGAUCUCCAACUGCAUGCUAGAGCAAACCGGAGAGUC